UAAGACUGAAGGACCACAGAACACCAGCACUUCAGUGAGCCCUGAGUUACUCUCAAGACCUGCACCACCUCUCUGGAUGUAUAGUGAAAGUCUUGCAAAUCGGCUGUUACUCAACUUGAACUCUGCAAGCGCGAAGCAACACUAAGACAUCAAUAGGUAAACAAAUAACCCGCACAUAGAAGAGAGGAGCUUACGACGACGUUUCGGCCCGACUUGGACCAUUUACAAAGUCACACUAACCAGAAGUGGAGUACGACGGAUCCAACUCAGCAUGCGGGUCUUACUGUUCUGCUGCCUUCUUCUCGUCUCCUGCACCUACGCUUGCUUCCCCACACACAGGAGGAAACUCAAUCGCACGACUACUUACUUAGAAUUGUGUGGGCAGCACGUCACGUAUUAUAUGCACUGUAGACGUUGUUCUUUAGACAGAAUGACUCAGAGUCUGGUGAGUAAAAUUCUGUUUAAAACUUUCAAAAUAAUGUUAAGGUUUUUGUUUGUGAUGUUGGAAACAUUUUUUUGAUAAAAUUAGAUACAGUCGGAGUUGUAUUUGUAAG